rnacentral:rRNA from 1 species
UACGUAGGGGGCGAGCGUUGUCCGGAGUCACUGGGCGUAAAGCGCACGCAGGCGGAUCGUUAAGUCAGGGGUGAAAUGCCAAGGCUCAACCUUGGAACUGCCUCUGAUACUGGCGAUCUUCGAGUCCGGGAGAGGUGAGUGGAACUCCGAGUGUAGAGGUGAAAUUCGUAGAUAUUCGGAAGAACACCAGUGGCGAAGGCGGCUCACUGGCCCGGUACUGACGCUCAGGUGCGAAAGCGUGGGGAGCAAACAGG